AACGCUACGGACUUGAAAAUCCGUUGGCUUUAUUGACCGUGAGGGUUCAAGUCCCUCUACCCCCA
rnacentral:tRNA from 2 species